CUAUUCCGAGGAGUGAAAUCUUCCUUUAAAAACGUCUUUCAGAUCCAUGUACAAAAUCCUCCAUUGGUUCCCUUUUCACUCAGAAUAAAAGCCAAAGUCCUUUAGAUGGCCUGCGAGGCCCUCAGUGACCUGGCAACCUGCUUCCUCUUGCACCAUACCUCUCACUCUCUCCACCGUGCUCACUCGCCACAAGAUGCACGGGCUUCAUGUCGAUACCAGAACAAGCCAAACAGUUUCCUGUCUCACAACAUGUGCUCUUGCAUGGAAUACUCUUCCUCAAGAUAUCUGCUUGGCUUCCUCCCUCACCUUUCUGAUGUCUCUACUGAAAUAUCACUUCAUCAUAGAGGCCUGCUUUGUUGGCCUGGGUUUCCUCAAAAGCAGAGCCUGAGACAAAGGCUUGGAUGCAGGGAGUUUGGGGAGAAAUUGAUCUCAAGGAAAGAAGCCAGGGAGGAAGGUGACAAAGCUGAACCAAGUAUACGUUAGUAACCUGAUGGAUUUUGUGGGCAACCGGAGCUCAGUCCAUCUGCGUCCCUCUGGGGCUCAUGAAGGAUGCCCCCCAGAAUUGUCUACCCAGAUGAGGAAGAGCAUCCAGACUUCCAUUAGAGGGUCACUUCUCCCCUGCUGUGUGCGGUCUUGGUGACCCUAUAAAUCAAGACUUUGAGUCUUGAGAAAACGACGAAAGAACAAGGAAAACAGUUGGAAUGCAUGUUCACUGGCUGUGCCCUCCAAGACUGGGGAGAAGUUCCUGGUGCUUAAACCCUCAGAAACAGUCUCCAAUUAUGGCCCUUUAACCAGAAACAUUUGAAAAAUGAAUAAUGCGGAAGGUGCGAAGCUACAUAGAGGCUGAGUCUGCCUAAAAAUGUUGUUGUACCAUAGCACAGCAUUAAAGAAAACCAGAAAAACAAGUAGGUAGCUAGAGCCAAUUCAAAUUCUACACGGGAUCUAUCUAUCGUCCAAACAGUGGAAACACAUUUGGCAGGUAUCUCUCGUCGACCACACUACUGGAAAUCAGUAUCACAACCACAGGUGAAGAAAGUUUGUCUUCAAAGUUAAACAGCUUUUCUAAGACACACAACCAAUAAGUGGUUUAGCCACUAGUGGAACCUUAGACCAGGCCUGAAUCACAGCUGUAUGACCUCAACCAAUUGAUGAAAAACAGAGGAGAGAAAAGAGGAAAAGAUGUGGAGGAGAUUCGCCUUAGAAGCUGGCAAUACCAUGAUUUAGAUGAACA
rnacentral:lncRNA from 1 species